AUACUUACCUUGUUGGCCGAGUCGCGCGAUCAUGAAGGCGCGGCCGGAGAGUGGGAAGCCUGCAUUGCACACCGUGGCGCUGACCGCUUUGGUUUGUCCUUCGGGGCCAACCCUGGCGUAAUUUUUGAUACCCACCUUUUGUUUUCAUUGUGC
rnacentral:snRNA from 21 species